CCUACGGGGGGCAGCAGUAGGGAAUCUUCCACAAUGGACGAAAGUCUGAUGGAGCAACGCCGCGUGAGUGAAGAAGGGUUUCGGAUCGUAAAGCUCUGUUGGUAGAGAAGAAAGAUAGAGGGAGUAACUGGGCAUUAUUUGACGGUAAUUAAUUAGAAAGCCACGGCUAACUACAUGCCAGCAGCCGCGGUAAUACGUAGGUGGCAAGCGUUGUCCGGAUUUAUUGGGCGUAAAGCGAGUGCAGGCGGUUU
rnacentral:rRNA from 1 species